AUGAACGCUGGCGGCGUGCCUAAUACAUGCAAGUCGAGCGAACAGACGAGGAGCUUGCUCCUCUGACGUUAGCGGCGGACGGGUGAGUAACACGUCGAUAACCUACCUAUAAGACUGGGAUAACUUCGGGAAACCGGAGCUAAUACCGGAUAAUAUAUUGAACCGCAUGGUUCAAUAGUGAAAGACGGUUUUGCUGUCACUUAUAGAUGGAUCCGCGCCGCAUUAGCUAGUUGGUAAGGUAACGGCUUACCAAGGCAACGAUGCGUAGCCGACCUGAGAGGGUGAUCGGCCACACUGGAACUGAGACACGGUCCAGACUCCUACGGGAGGCAGCAGUAGGGAAUCUUCCGCAAUGGGCGAAAGCCUGACGGAGCAACGCCGCGUGAGUGAUGAAGGUCUUCGGAUCGUAAAACUCUGUUAUUAGGGAAGAACAAAUGUGUAAGUAACUAUGCACGUCUUGACGGUACCUAAUCAGAAAGCCACGGCUAACUACGUG
rnacentral:rRNA from 1 species